AGACCCUGGUCUGCACUCUAUCUGUAUGCUUUUUAAAGGGAGCGCAGGGCAGGGUUUCC
rnacentral:pre_miRNA from 2 species